rnacentral:rRNA from 1 species
GUUGGCUUAGAAGCAGCCAUCCCUUGAAAGAGUGCGUAAUAGCUCACUGGUCAAGCGACUCCGCGCCGAAAAUACACCGGGACUCAAGCAUAUAACCGAAGCUGCGUCAUUACAGUUUACUGUAAUGGGUAGGGGAGCGUUCUGUUGUAGGACGAAGUUAGAUCGAAAGGACUAAUGGACGAAGCAGAAGUGAGAAUGUCGGCAUAAGUAGCGAAAACAUUGGUGAGAAUCCAAUGCACCGUAAACCUAAGGUUUCCCCUGGCAGGCUCGUCCGCGGGGGGUUAGUCGGAACCUAAGAUGAGGCCGAAAGGCGUAGUCGAUGGACAUCAGGUUGAUAUUCCUGAACUAUCUGGUAAUCGUUAUCAGAUGCGGAGGGACGCAGGAGGAUAGGCAUGCAGACGAACGGAAGUGUCUGUUUAAGCGUGUAGCUAGUUUGAGUAGGAAAAUCCGCUCAGGCGUUAAGACGUGAGGCGUUAUGAGGAGAGUCUACGGACUCGAAGCUGUUGAAUCCACACUGCCAAGAAAAACUUCGCAAUCGAGAUUAUCCGGUAUCCGUACCGUAAACCGCCACAGGUAGGUUAGUAGAACAUACUAAGGUGCGCGAGACAACUCUCGCUAAGGAACUCGGCAAAAUCACCUCGUAACUUCGGGAGAAGAGGUACCCUGGUAGCGUGAAGCGAUUUACUCGUGAAGCGUGAUAGGGUCGCAGUGAAUUGGCCCAUGCGACUGUUUACCAAAAACACAGGUCUCUGCUAAGUCGAUCAAGACGAUGUAUAGGGGCUGACGCCUGCCCGGUGUCGGAAGGUUACGUGGAAGGGUUAGUAGUAAUACGAAGCUCUGAAACUAAGCCCCGAUGAACGGCGGCCGUAACUAUAACGGUCCUAAGGUAGCGAAAUUCCUUGUCAGGUAAGUUCUGACCCGCACGAAUGGCGUAAUGAUUUGGGCACUGUCUCAACAGCCCGCCCGGCGAAAUUGUAGUACUGGUGAAGAUGCCAGUUACCCGCAACUAGACGGAAAGACCCCAUGGAGCUUUACUGCAGCUUAAUACUGAAAUUCGGUAGUACAUGUACAGGAUAGGUGGGAGACUGAGAAAUACAGGCGUCAGCUUGUAUGGAGUCGCUGUUGGGAUACCACUCUUGUACUGCUGGGUUUCUAACCUGCGGCCGUGAAUCCGGUCGGGGGACACUGUUAGGCGGGCAGUUUGACUGGGGCGGUCGCCUCCAAAAGAGUAACGGAGGCGCUCAAAGGUUGGCUCAGCAUGGACGGAAACCAUGCUCUUGAGUGUAAACGCAAAAGCCAGCCUAACUGCGAGACUGACGGGUCGAGCAGUAACGAAAGUUGGAGUUAGUGAUC